GAGAACAAUCUAUCCAUCCAAAGUUAAUCCAACACACAAUGUCUCAACUCAUGAAAAUAAAUAGUAAGAAAAUAGUUUAAAACAAUUAAAGAAUUGAGUUUGUAUAAACUCAGUCGUUAGUCCAAAAUAUUACGAAAAUAAGACCUCUAGAAACUGAAAAUCGUAGUAGCAAAACUCUAUUUAGUCAAUAAUGAGGANN
rnacentral:lncRNA from 1 species